GACGACUUAGUCCGGAGAUUCCCGAC
rnacentral:piRNA from 1 species